rnacentral:siRNA from 1 species
GGGAUCGAAUAUGGUGUCCAUGC